rnacentral:rRNA from 1 species
UAACACGUGGGUGAUCUGCCCUGCACUUUGGGAUAAGCCUGGGAAACUGGGUCUAAUACCGAAUAUGACUAUGGGAUGCAUGUCCUGUGGUGGAAAGCUUUUGCGGUGUGGGAUGGGCCCGCGGCCUAUCAGCUUGUUGGUGGGGUGAUGGCCUACCAAGGCGACGGCGGGUAGCCGGCCUGAGAGGGUGUCCGGCCACACUGGGACUGAGAUACGGCCCAG